GGGAAGUACAUGUUCACUUGCAGUUCUCUAUAACGAGAAAGAAUGAACAAGAGGGGAAGUGGGGUUGGAACUUUAGAUGAGGCUCGGGCGAGGCCCAAGAGCUCAUAGUGUUAAAUAAAGAAAAAAUCCAAAAUGCAUUAAAACCGAGCAUUUUUGAAUGCAUAAACAAUGAAAUAGAAUAGAAUCUUGGUUUAAUGGAUUUGGAUAUAACAGACAAAAUAUUUGGAUUAAAUUUUUAUGUUUUUUUCAUCAAACAUUUAAAAUUCCCAGUCAACGAAUAAUGAUGCUAUAUGUAAUAAUUCAUUAUAUACAAAGAAUGUCUAUAUCUUAUAGAAUUCUAACAUCUGUAGCAUUUUGUUAUAUAAGAGGAAUGCAAUGCUAGCCUAUAGUAGUUGGCUCAGCAGGUUGGAAAGAGAAAUUUUUUUACAUUUAGAUAAUUAUAUUUUUAUGUUCAAAAAAUGCAAUUAUGAUAUUUAUAUUUCUUUUAAUGUAUAUUUCUUUAUAUGUAUAUUUCUUUGUUUGCCUGCUUUAGAUCAUCAUGCUGUUAAUGUCAAUGCAAUCUUCAGAAGGAAAGCAUUUAACUUACUCAUGAUUAUUUAUAAAAAUGUUUUCAGCUUUAUUCAGCCUUCUUGAAU
rnacentral:lncRNA from 1 species